rnacentral:rRNA from 1 species
AUUGAACGCUGGCGGCAGGCCUAACACAUGCAAGUCGAGCGGAGCGGCGGACGGGUGAGUAAUGCCUAGGAAUCUGCCUGGUAGUGGGGGAUAACGUCCGGUAACGGGCGCUAAUACCGCAUACUAUCAGAUGAGCCUAGGUGGGAUUAGCUAGUUGGUGGGGUAAAGGCCUACCAAGGCGACGAUCCGUAGCUGGUCUGAGAGGAUGAUCAGUCACACUGGAACUGAGACACGGUCCAGACUCCUACGGGAGGCAGCAGUAGGGAAUAUUUGGCAAUGGGCGAAAGCCUGAUCCAGCCAUGCCGCGUGAGUGAAGAAGGUCUUCGGAUUGUAAAACACUGUAAGUAGGGAGGCGGUACCUAAAGAAUAAGCACCGGCUAACUACGUGCCAGCAGCCGCGGUAAUAC